UUUGAGAAAACCUCGCUCUCUCUCUCUCUGUACGCUCAUGAACCCUCUCUCUCUCAACUCUCGCUCUCACGUUUAUGAAGCACCAUCUACCUUGCGCUGUCCAGGACACCGAACUCGUCGAGAUCACCAUCUCUGUCGCGUCGUUCAGGUCACCGUGCUCGCCAUCGUCACCAUCUCCCUCAUGCUCUCCAUGUCACCGAGCUCUCUGAGCUCGCCAUCUCCCUUCGUGUCUUAGAGUUCUGUCGCAGGUUUCGUUGAACAUCUUCAAGGAUUUGAAAGGAUUGGCAGCUUAGUAGCCAGAGUUGGUCUGUACAGAGAUGACAUCGAAUUAGUCGUUGCCCAGAGUUAGAAGGUUUAUGCAAAACUAAUAUUUUUUAACGUCUCUGCGUUUGGUUUUUAUUCCACACGACUGCAUAUGUUCGGUAUGCUUAUGAUUCAUUGGGUUCUUUUACAAUUUAUAGAUAAUGCGAAAAAAGAAAGAACGAAGUUUUGAAAUUCAUAUUGGUUUCUGGGUUUACACUGAAAUUGACGAAGCAUAUACGCACAAGAAGGCUUGAGGAUGUACUAAAGCUUGGAUAUGAUAUGAUUGUUCUCUUUCAAUUUGGGCUAGGUGCUAACACCUACUAUGUCAAAUUGAAGCUAUAUGCCCAAGGAAAUGUUAUUCUCGCAGAUUCCGAUUUUAUGGUCAUGACUCUUCUUCGCUCGCCAUAGGAAAAAACUGUUGCUAUCAUUUCACAUAUAUGCGCAAGGUUCACUGGUUUGAAAAUUUUAACUGGUUUAUCAGCAGUGAGAACUAUUUGGUUAUCAGUGGACGUGAUGCCCAACAAAAUGAGAUGAUUGUCAAGUGCUAUAUAUCAAAAGGAGAUCUGUAAAUCAACUUAGACGUUGACAUAAUGUGUUUUAGUUCUCAUCUACAUAAACUGCCACUGAACAAUAAUUCAUACCAGCUUGUGGAUUCCUUAUCCACUCUUUGUAAUUAGAUUUCCCACUUAGUCUCUAUCCUAUAUUGCUUGGGUUGGAGAAUUGGAGAUACCUAUAGUUAACACCUGGUUCCCUGUUUAGUCACUUUAGUAGCAUGACAAUCUUAUAAUAAUUACAGGCCCCGUUUGGUAGGCUGUACUGGACUGGUUAGGAUUGGGCUUGAAGUGUUAGACUGGACUAGUUUGGAUUGGGCUAGACUUCAAGUGCUAUUGAGUUGUUUGGUAGAGCACGAGACUGGAUUAGACUUAAGUCCAGUCCAUUGUUUGGUACAAGGCCACACUGGACAACAUUGGACUUCAUUUUUUUUUAAUUUCAAAAUUAAU